UCUGUCGAAACAAGGAAAAUGUAGGAGAAGAUGGAAGAUUAUUCGAAUAUUAAAAAGGAUUACUUUCAAAACUCGUUUCUUAUUAUUAAUAUCAACGUUAUUUAAGAAAACCACCAUCAACUGCGCAGUGAAACCCUCGAAAGAUUCGUACGGUCUGGCAUCCUGUGGCGGAUGCCAGUCACGGAUUAGAUCCGGCUCAGAAUAUCGCCGUGUACGUCUCCGCCUAGCUGUCUGUCUGUUCCAGUAAUCGGAACUGACGCCGCUACUGGAUAUUGUCAGCAUCGAGUCGAUGCUCCGUCGCAAAUAAUCCUCGGCCUCGUCGAUCAACGACUCGGUCGAAUCGCCGCUGUUAUCGCCGGUCACCAAAUCCGAGCGCAGAUUUGGCAAGCUGCCACGCGUCAUCGGGCAUUCUGCGAGCAAACCAAUGAUCGUAUGCGAAAAAGCGCUGCUUGUUGGAGAAAAGAUUCACAAUGGCCAAUUAAAAUUGUUUUCCAGAGGGGAUUUCGGAUUUGUUCACGAAUCUUCUCUUAGGAACGCUCUUAGAAGUUUUCGAGGACGUAGCAGGCGGGUGCACGUGGGUAGGAGAAGAGGGCAUAGAAGACCAGGUGGGUCUCGGGGUGGAAGUGGCGAGCGGAACUCUCCAAGUGUCGAAGGACGCCGCUGUCGCUCUCCACGAGUGUCUACGCGGUGGACCGCCGACCACCUCCAAUCCGGGCGACGGGAUCGAGGACAAUGAACCGCGGUAUCGCGAAGAAUAAAGGUCGGUCGAGAGACGACAGUCGCAGGGACUCGGCAGGCCUGUGGCGGGGUUGCAACGGGGCCAGAAUCCCGCAGGAGAGCCCAGCGAUUCGCGCCGGUGCACGUCCGGUGUACGAAGUCCGCAACCUCGGGAACCGAAGCAAGUCUGAAAGAAAAAAUGUGAGCGACUAAAAAAUGUAGUUUUAUCGUCUAUAAAUGCUAUAAUUCCUCGUGACUCGAGGGGAAGAUCUAUUAUACGACGGAGUUACGAAUAAUAUUUCCGUCUUGUUGAAUUUGUUUUAGUAUUUAAGCAAUUUGUUAGAUUCCAGUAUAAUAUAUUUUGUUAUUUGAUUUAUAUAGGGAUGAAUGAAACUUGGAAAAUAAAGGUACGUGCAAAUACUUUUUGUCAAUCAAUAUAAUUUUAAAAGUUAUGAAUGAAAAAGAAUAAAAAAAAGGAAAACGAAGGUGAACAAUACUCGUGUUUUACGUGAGAUCAUGACGUUAAAAAUUUCAAAGAAUUUUAACUCGAAACAAAACGGAGGAAAAAUAUUUGCGUUUCGAUCGCGAUACUCGAGAUCGGUUAUAAGUUCUUAAAGAAAGACGGUAAUUGUACGACAGAGAAUAUUAUUGGAAUCGACACUAUACGUGUAUCGAUCAAGGGAAUAAACAUUAUAAACCGGUAGUAUCAUAAUAAAACGAGACGAAACCGGUAAUUAGUCAUCCAAGUUGACGAAGAGACGGAAUUGCAACGAACCGAAUUGCAUUAACUUCAUUCGUUUGACCUUCUCCCACGCACGACGAGUAUUCAUUUCUGUGAAUACUAAUAGAAAUAAACACAGCGCUUUAGGUAUAACUCUAUACCACGUUGGAAAAGAGAUUUAUAUGCACGUAAAUUUGUUCUAAUUAUCUUUUUCCAUGAAGUUUUCCGUCUUCCAAGAAAUUGUUUUGUUUAGAACGAUGAACAACUAUAUUACGACAUCAAUGAUGUAAAAGAAAAAACAACAUGAUCAUGACCCGGUUUUAAAUGCUCCGAUUACAUUGAUCACGAGAAAUAAAAAAUUAUUAGACAUUAAUGGAAUAUACUUUUAUUAUUCAUUAUCGACUAAUUACAUUGAAAUGUAAACUCCAUCAAAUUUAACGAAAUAUAUUUAAUCACAAGCACGAUAAUCGAGAAUAUUUAAACACCGAAGAUAUAAAAAUUUCAAACAAUUAAGUAACA